GUGCAAACGUUGUUCGGAAUUACUGGGCGUAAAGCGUGCGUAGACGGUAGCGUAAGUCGGGUGUGAAAGCCCCGGGCUCAACCUGGGAAUUGCAUUCGAGACUGCUCUGCUAGGGUGCGGAAGAGGGGAGCGGAAUUUCCGGUGUAGCGGUGAAAUGCGUAGAUAUCGGAAGGAACACCAGUGGCGAAAGCGGCUCCCUGGUCCAGCACCGACGUUCAGGCACGAAAGCGUGGGGAGCAAACAGG
rnacentral:rRNA from 1 species